GGGGCGGCUGCCCUCGGGCUGGCGGAGGCGCCGGAGGAGCCCCCGAGCUGCAGCCGUCUCCCUCGGGCUGCUGCCGGUGCUGCGGGCGGAGGCGGCUCCGCCGCGUGUUGGGCGCUGCGAGCAGGGAGCGCUGCGGUAUCGCCGGCAUGACGGGGCUGCUGCCUGCGUUAGUGCUCGUGGCUCUUUGUGCCGUGACAGCGGAUGGAGCGGCGCUGGGCGGUAAAGCCAGAGAUGGCCGGGAGAAUGCCCAGCGCAGGGAGCGGGCGGGCUGUGUGCUUCGGAUGGCACAGGAUACUCAGAAAAUAUGUCUCCCUUAGAGUCCCACAGAAACGUUCUCAGUGCGAUCUCUAUCAAGUGCUAUGAGUCUUGAUCAAUUGGAGAAGAGCCCAAGAGAAAUUUUUCAUCCCUUGAUAUAAAAGGGAUCGGUGAAUUUUAACUUUGGAGUCCCCUAUGCUAAGGAUGCUCAGCUUACAGGUGAUGAAAUGUUCAGUAAUGUAUUUGCUGCAGCUCUGCUUACCCAAGCUUUGGGUUCCUUCUGUCCCACUGGGAGUUGCCCAAUUUGGUUGCAUCUGGUGAAAUUCACCCUGAGACCUUACAGAACCAGCUCCAACUACGUGAGAGCCAUUUGCAGUUCUCUCCAGACGCCUGGAGAAUGGGCGACGUUUCUGAGGAUCCGGCGAGCGUGCUUCUGUCAAAACUCAGUCUGUGAAAUUCCUGGGGAAAACCCUUCUGUGUCCUGAAGGGUUCAAACUCUGGUGAGGAUCCAGUUAUCAGGUGCUCACCUGGAUGGUUCCAGCUCCCAAAGGGAAAGACUCUCGUGUCCUUGUCGUCGGGCUCGGUGCUGUCCAAGAAGAUACGGGGACUAAAAAAAUCAUAAGAAGCAAAAUACGACUGCAGGGAAAAGAAGCUGGAGAGAACAGAAGAGCCCUGUUGUACUAAUCUUCAUACAAGUACAAAACAAAAAAUCAGACCCUGUCCCAAGCACUUAGAGGCCAGAACACGAUUUCCUCGGGCUGCCAUUUGUGUGCCAUCGGUACUCACCAUGGAAGCGAGCUGGGGAUUGUUGCAGCUGUUGGGAACAAACCGCUUCUCGUCACACAGAAAUGGAAUUGGGACGACGCCUCGGCCAGCCCCUUUCUGCCAUCGUCUCCUGAAUCUGCAGCAGAGCAGUUCCAGUCCAUCCCGGCACGUGUAAUCCAGUUCCUGAUGAUCUGAGCACACGGAGCAGCGCUCAGCUGCUGUGGGGGGCUCAGGGAAGGCAGAGUGUGCAUUGUCAUCUUCCUGAACCUACAGACAAAUCAAAGUGAGAAGCCACAGCGUGGAAAUCAGUCCCAUAUAUGCUAAAUAAAACUUGCAGAUUUUUUUAAGAA